rnacentral:rRNA from 1 species
ACUGUCAUACGCAUCCGGGAGCCAGAACUCCACUUUACGAAAGUAGCUUUACCAACGCCUACCAGAACCCACGAUAGCUGGGGCACAAACUGGGAUUAGAUACCCCACUAUGCCCAGCCAUAAACCUUGAUACUUUCAUACAAUUAGUAUCCGCCAGGGAACUACGAGCACCAGCUUAAAACCCAAAGGACUUGGCGGUGCCUCAGAUCCCCCUAGAGGAGCCUGUUCUAGAACCGAUAACCCCCGUUAAACCUCACCACUUCUUGCCUAUUCCGCCUAUAUACCACCGUCGCCAGCUUACCCUGUGAAGGGAAAAAAGUAAGCAAAAUGGAAACUUUCCAAAACGUCAGGUCGAGGUGUAGCACACGAAGUGGGAAGAAAUGGGCUACAUUACCUGACACAGGAUAUUCACGGAAAGUCACCUGAAACGGUAAUUCA